CCUACGGGUGGGCUGCAGUGGGGAAUAUUGGGCAAUGGGCGAAAGCCUGACCCAGCAAUGCCGCGUGAAUGAAGAAGGUCUUAGGAUUGUAAAAUUCUGUCCUAUGGGAAGAAAAAAAUGACGGUACCAUAGGAGGAAGCUCCGGCUAACUACGUGCCAGCAGCCGCGGUAAUACGUAGGGGGCAAGCGUUAUCCGGAUUUACUGGGUGUAAAGGGAGCGUAGACGGAAAGGCAAGUCAGAAGUGAAAGCCCAAGGCUCAACCAUGGGACUGCUUUUGAAACUGUCAAACUAGAGUACGGGAGAGGUAAGAGGAAUUCCUGGUGUAGCGGUGAAAUGCGUAGAUAUUAGGAGGAACACCAGUGGCGAAGGCGUCUUACUGGACCGAAACUGACGUUGAGGCUCGAAAGCGUGGGGAGCAAACAGGAUUAGAUACCCUAGUAGUC
rnacentral:rRNA from 1 species